rnacentral:tRNA from 1 species
GCCCGGAUGGUGGAAUCGGUAGACACAAGGGAUUUAAAAUCCCUCGGCGUUCGCGCUGUGCGGGUUCAAGUCCCGCUCCGGGU